AGCUCCAAUAGCGUAUAUUAAAGUUGUUGCGGUAAAAAGCUCGUAGUUGGACUUCUGUUGAGAGAUACCGGUCCAUGCAACGCAUGCGUAUUUGGUAAGUCUCGGCAUCCUCUCGAAAAACUUCUUUGCGCUUGAUUGCGUGAAAAGAGUUUCGGGACUUUUACUUUGAGGAAAUUAGAGUGUUCACGGCAGGCCAUCGCCAGGAUACAUUAGCAUGGAAUAAUACUAUAGGAUCUUGAUCCUAUUUUGUUGGUUUCUAGGAUUAAGAUAAUGAUUAAUAGGGACAAUUGGGGGCAUUCGUAUCAACACGUCAGAGGUGAAAUUCUUGGAUUGUGUUGCGACGAACUACUGCGAAAGCAUUUGCCAAGGAUGUUUUCA
rnacentral:rRNA from 1 species